UACGAAGGGGGCUAGCGUUGCUCGGAAUCACUGGGCGUAAAGCGCACGUAGGCGGCUUUCUAAGUCAGGGGUGAAAUCCUGGAGCUCAACUCCAGAACUGCCUUUGAUACUGGAGAGCUUGAGUCCGGGAGAGGUGAGUGGAACUCCGAGUGUAGAGGUGAAAUUCGUAGAUAUUCGGAAGAACACCAGUGGCGAAGGCGGCUCACUGGUCCGGUACUGACGCUGAGGUGCGAAAGCGUGGGGAGCAAACAGG
rnacentral:rRNA from 1 species